AUAUUGCGUGUAUGUGUGUCUUUUGAGUGUGUUUAUGUCUGUUUGUGUGUGUGUUUUGGAAUUAAAACACACCCACAGUACCCACACACACAAACACACUCUCCACACACCAUCAGACACGGACAAACAAACUCAACAGACAAACACACCCUUAAAGACCCAGGUACAACAUCGCGACGUAGCAGACGAAAGGGCUGCCUCUCUCUUUUCCGACGCAGAUGGCGCCAGGCCGCCGAUCACCGGCUUGCGCCGGUGAUCAGGGCUCUGCUCAGCAGGUGAAUAGUACCGCCAGGGGCCCUUGCCCACUCCCAGCGAAUGUUUCGGCCUGGUACUAGAGCUGGCCGAUUUCUUGGCCAACUGUCCAAUCACUAUGCCUCGUCAGCCGGCUGAGUUGGCCAUCAGAGCUCUCUCAUUGGCCUAAUGGCGAUCACUGAGAAUGUGGGCGUCGCCAGAGUUGGCCAACAGACCAAUCACGUUGUCUCGUUGUCCGACUGGACAUGAAUAUUUAUGAUUACCUCACCGCUACGUCACCGUAAAAUAUGAAUAUUCAUCUCUUCGGCGGAACCUUCGAAUUCACUGCCAAAUCGAGCACUGUUUCAUCGAUAAAUCCACCCUUUUGAGGACUUUUGGAUGUUGUUUACAUAUGGACGUGGAAAUUGUGAUCAUUCUUCGCAUGUAUGAUACCAUGGUGCUGUACAGUAUACACACACCCAGACUGUGGGAUCUGGUACGUCAAACUUGACCAGGCAUCGUAAAAUCCACAAUGACAGGAUGCACCAUCCACAGCGUCAACGUCAGCAGAUACCGUUGCUGCAGGGGAAUGAACUGUGGUGAGACUAGACUCUGGUGAACUGCAUCUCUGCGGAGCGGUAUAGGAUAUCGCCAUGCAUUCAAGUGCUGGAAAAUAACCAGAGAGCUGAAGAGGACAGUGCCAAUGACGACGAUGAGAGCAUCAUAGGUGAUAUGUCUGUCGCUGUGGACCUCAUCGACAGUACGAAUACCGAGGACUCUUGGAAGUGGAACGUCGAUACCAUGUUUCGAGUAGGCCCGAGACCUAAGCAAUUUCAUUCGGACCGAUGGAACAGUACGAUGUGAUGUUGUGCAACUAUUGCGUUUAAUGAUUGAAAUACGUUUUUCAUCGUGCUACUCAGCAUGGACCAGACGCGAGCCCUAUUAACGCUAUGUACUGUAAUGGUGCUUUUCACUCUGCUUCAGGAAUCACACAGAUAUGCACAUGUGGACGAUGAAUUGUUGAUUGGAAAAAGACUGAACAUUUUUCUCAAUUGCCAUGCUUAUUUUGCAAAUUUGUCAUCAGUUACACAAUUUCUUACGGAAAGAAAGAACGCACUAAUCCAUGGCUCUACACAGUUGGGGGGGGGGGGUAUGCUUUAGUGGUUGCCCCACCCCCCUCCUUUUGUGUAUGGCCAUGAAUUUAUUUGAAUUAGUUUUGUACAGGUACAUACAUGAAUACAGAAAUCGAUUAUCAAAGAGUGACCGAAGCAAAGAUAUUUAAUUAAUUAAAAGAUGAGAACACUGAUGUAAAUAUUGCUUAUGAUUAUUGA